AGGGUUCGAUUCUGGCUCAGGACGAACGCUGGCGGCGUGCCUAAUACAUGCAAGUCGAGCGAACAGAAAAGGAGCUUGCUCCUUUGACGUUAGCGGCGGACGGGUGAGUAACACGUGGGCAACCUACCUUAUAGUUUGGGAUAACUCCGGGAAACCGGGGCUAAUACCGAAUAAUCUCUUUUACUUCAUGGUGAAAGACUGAAAGACGGUUUCGGCUGUCGCUAUAGGAUGGGCCCGCGGCGCAUUAGCUAGUUGGUGAGGUAACGGCUCACCAAGGCGACGAUGCGUAGCCGACCUGAGAGGGUGAUCGGCCACACUGGGACUGAGACACGGCCCAG
rnacentral:rRNA from 1 species